AAAAACUAUAUUUUUAUUUUUAGUUGUAUUUGGAUAUUCUUUAUUUUAUUGUUUUAGUUUGCUUUAGUUUUAAGAAUAUUAUUUUCAUUUUUCUUAAUUUAAUAAAUUUAAUGAAUAUUUAAAAUUAAUAAAAUAGAAAAUUCGAAAAUAUAGGGCUAUACGGACUCGAACCGUAAACCUUCUCGGUAAAACAGAUCGAACUGAUUAUUAUCAAAAUGAUUCGGCCUAUUUCAAAGACCCAACAUGCAUUUUUUUUUUGCAUUGGGCUCUUUCAUUAACUGAUAGAAAUAUCAGUUAGUCUACCGUAUAUAUAUUUUUUUCUAACAGAAAAAAGAAGACGGUUCCGUGUGCUCUGAUUCAUUGUGCUCUGAUUCAUUACUGAUACAGGAGCACUUCCAAAGUGUUUCAAAGAGGGGAAGGGUUAUCUUGACGUAGGUCUGCUUCUGGCCUAGAUCAACCUAAGUUAAAUGGAGUCUCUACCAUCCUGAUUAAAAAAUCAAACAUGAAACUUCAUACACCUUAAGAUUCAUAGGAUGAGAAGAGCAUUUUUGAGGUCCUUAUACUCAUUAUGCCUAGCAUUGAAUAGACCGGGU
rnacentral:lncRNA from 1 species